AAAAACAUAACAAUAUGCCCAUUGUUUAUAUUGGAUCUUCAUGUAUUUUACAGGAGAGAAGUAGGAUGAUCGGCAUCUCCACCAAGACUUAAAUAUGGCCACAUUAGCUUGGAGGGAUUUUAGAUGCCAAAGACAGCCACGAAGGCAAAAAGACCCCUUCAAGGGAAUUCAAGAAAGAAAUCUCAACCAUUUACCACUCAGUCAAAGAAGCUUAAAAACCCAAGAACAAUCGUCUGUUACCGUAUGCUGAAUAAGAAAUGGAAUCAAAGUAAAAGAAGAAAUCAAAAUAAGAGAUGGAAUCAAAGGAAGACCUGUAACCAAACGAAAAGGAAUCAAAAGUCAGCCCAUCUUCCCAAAAAAAGACUCGGGAAGAGCUCACCACUUCACAGAACCCGUGCAGCCAGACGCUAAAUAGCAAAGUCCAGAGACCUCAGAAAUAUCUGUUGUGUCUCCA